GACGAACGCUGGCGGCGUGCCUAAUACAUGCAAGUUGAGCGCUGAAGGUUGGUACUUGUACCAACUGGAUGAGCAGCGAACGGGUGAGUAACGCGUGGGUAAUCUGCCUUUGAGCGGGGGACAACAUUUGGAAACGAAUGCUAAUACCGCAUAAAAACUUUAAACACAAGUUUUAAGUUUGAAAGAUGCAAUUGCAUCACUCAAAGAUGAUCCCGCGUUGUAUUAGCUAGUUGGUGAGGUAAAGGCUCACCAAGGCGAUGAUACAUAGCCGACCUGAGAGGGUGGACGGCCACACAGGAACUGAGACACGGCCCAGAGUCCUACGGGAGGGAGCAGGAGGGAGGCUUGCGAAAGGGGCGAAAGCCUGACGGAGGAACGCGGAGUGAGUGAUGAAGGUCUUAGGAUCGUAAAACUCUGUGAUUAGGGAAGAACAAAUGUGUAAGUAACUAUGCACGUCUUGACGGUACCUAAUCAGAAAGCCACGGCUAACUACGUG
rnacentral:rRNA from 1 species